rnacentral:piRNA from 1 species
CCCUUGCCUAAGGAACUGUGAUAGCUUAA